ACAACUUCCACUCCCCCCUGAGGGGGCACAUCUGGAGCACAGCUUUGCGCAGGGGGGGGGGGAUGGGUCGGAGGGCGGGAGAAAUUCAAAAUUGGUCUCUCCCUCCAGUCGCGCCGGAGGCAAAGAAAUUUGGCUUCUGACAUCAUUCCGUGCUGCUUCCAGACGGGCUCCCCAGCGCCAGCCGCAGUACCCUGCCGUCGCCUCCGCUCCAGCCCCACUGACUCCGUCUCCACCUGAAGUAAUUCCCCGCC